GUUCACAAAGGUAGCCCGUGGAGAUCCUUUAGCAUCCGUUUGGUUCGGGGUUAAGGAAUAAAUGGCUAUUCCAAGGAUAGAAUCGAUAGAGUUAAGUUCGGGGUUAAAGUGGGGUUAAAGUUUUUUUGUAUUUGGUUGGGGGCUGGAGUUAGUCUAGAAUAAUGAAAAAUAGUAUUUGGUUGGAGUAGGUGGGAUAAAAAGAUAAUGAUUGAUAAAGAAGGAUAAUGAUUGGUUAGAGUAGGUGUGAUAAGAAAAAUAGUGAGUUAUUAUGAAUAGAAAAUAAUGUUUGGUUGAAGUUUGUUGGGGUUAGAUGGGAUUAGCUAAUCCGGAAUAAUUUAUUUGAGGUGUGGUUAGCUAAUUCCACCCAUUUUUUAGGGUGUUUGGGGAUAAAAUGGGGGUUAAGGGGUUAUUCCACCCCUUAACCCCCAACCAAACAA
rnacentral:lncRNA from 1 species